GUAAAUGGUGUGUUUGGCAGUUUAGGGAAAGCAUUAGGUCUGCCAUGUGUAAAUGGUGUGCGAGGUAGCUAAGGAUACCAUUAGGUCUGCCAUGUGUAAAUGGUGUGCGAGGUAGCUAAGGAUACCUUUAGGUCUGCCAUGUGUAAAUGGUGUGUAGAAGCUAAGGAUACCAUUAGUUCUGCCAUGCAUGUAAAAUGGUGUGUGUCAGUUUAGGAUAGCAGUAGGUCCAUCACAUCUAUCUAGUUUGCUUAAACAUAUCCGUGUUUAUAUUAUAAAGAAAUAUUUUAUUCCAAAUUAAAUGAUAGGUCUGGGUACAUCUAAAUGAAGGAGCACUCAAAUGCUGUCACAAAAACCAACCUCAUUUACAAUUACCACUGUUUACAUGUAUAGCCUUAUAUUACAUAUCUCACAGAGUAAAUUUCUGAUUUGUACAAUCUACUGCUUUAUCUUAUAAAUUAGAAUAAUUUAAAGUUGUCUUAGCAUUUUAUGAAAUAAAUACUUUGGUAUUGUUAUGAAAACUAGGCAUGGUGAUUGUAAGUAAACUCCGACACUUGGUUUGUGGAAACAAGUUUGCCAAUAUUUACAUAUAGAUACACAGUGAAUCAAGUCACGUUCUACUUUAAAGUGAUUGAGAAAGUAAACAGAUUUCUUCACACAUAGGUUAUUUAUUAAAAAACAGUGGCAAUUGUAAGUAUUGUUGUCGACAUCUCUCAUAGAAUUACCAGUAUAAUUUGUAUUGACAAUCCAAUAUCACUGUAUAACAGUGAAACAUUCAUCAGUAAAUUUCUAUCUUGAGGUUUGUUUCAAACACCAUUUUGUUGAUGAAAUUUCCCCCCAUCAUCAGCCAUAUUAUGUGAGAUUUAAGUGUAAACAGUGAUGUUUCCAGAGUAAUGACUAUACAGUUGUAUUUUAAUUCUGUGAAUUACAGAGCACACUUUUCAGGUAGCUUUUAUAAUUGGUAUGCUACCUAUACAUGUAUUAAUGUGUCGCUAUAUGUUAUACUUAUUGAAAAUAAACAGUUGUUAAUCUUCUA